CAAAACGAAACUCACAGGGGAACCGACGCCUCCUCUCUCCGCCUCAAUCAUAUCGAGCCGCCGCCCCCAACGCAUCCAGCUGCCCCACCGACCCGUCGUGCCUUGAGGACGCCGUCCCCAUCGCCUCGAUCUGCCACCCCUCAGAUCUUCGUAUCGCCCCCACCAAUCGCCUCGUCUGGCCUCGGCCAUCGCCGGCGACGCCAGUGGUGAAGCCGCCUCUUACACCGCCUGGCUGACCGUCCAUCAGGGAUGCCGCCUCCUACAUCGCCUGGUCCGCAGACCGUCGGGGACGCCGCCUAGCCAACCGUCAGGGAGGGGGAGGUGUCGCCUAAACCGCGUUGCGGGCCGUCGGGGACGCCGCCUAAACCGCCUUGCCGACUGUCAAGGACGCUGCCUAAACCGCCCUUUGUUCACAUCUCCCCCUCACCUCGCACAGUCAGGGGACGAGCCGCCUUCAAACACACAGCCGCCAAGCCGGAGGUCUGUCAUCUCUGCUUUCUUUGGUUCAUCUUGUUUUUCCAGUGACGUGUUGCUUCACAUUUGAAAAUUUUCUUCAUGUGUGACAUAUUGAUUCACAUUGAUAAAACUGAAGCCAGCCAAAGCAAGCUUGUUACUAGAGUUCUAAAUAAAUCCUCCAUGGGUUAUUUGAAUGCAGACAUUCAGCAGUUAAGCUUCAUUACCAAUGUGAUUUGCAUUGCUUGUGUUUUUGACUCGCCAAUGAUCAUAUUAUACUGAUUUCCCUGAUUUUGUACACACAUCAAGCAGAUGAAAAAUAGUCAUUCGGGGCGCUUCUCCAUCAUGAUUAGGGAAUUGUUCCUAGUUUUUCGUGCAAUGUAGCUAUCCUCCAUUCAUCCAUCGGUGGAGAUGUGAAGUGGUGAACCACAUGGGAAGCUCGUCGGUUGGAACUAUCUACAUCUCAGAUGCCAGGCAAAAGAUGGACAGAGCGGCGCAUGCGGCGGCAGAGCAAGCAGUCAGGGAUUCACAACGAGUAUUCGACUGGCACGGAGGGGAUCCAGCAUUCCUUUGUUGUCUUGUGCAAUCAGCCUUCAGGAAGGAACCACAAUUGAUCUUGUGCAGUUCAAGACUCGCCUCAAGCGUUGCUGUAACAGUUCCUAUAGGCACAUGGCGGCUGGCCCAACUAUGAUGCAAUCCAAUUCAGCAUAUAGCUUCCUGGACACCCACAGCCACCCAAUUGGAAUGUUGUAUAUACACAGCGAUACAGGCUAUGUACGACCAUAUGGGAAUGCUUUUUUAUCUUCUUUCUUUGCUCGCAGAUUUGGUCAUUUGGAUAGCACAUUAUCAAGUGGUCUUACUUAAAAUUCAGUAUAAUAUGAGAUACAAGACGAGGUCAUUCAGAAAAGUGUUUUCACAUGACAGUAACAGUAUGGACCUAAUACCAUAAAAAAGGGUAAGGAGGUAAGGAGAGGUUGUUUGUUGGAAUCCACAGUGGACGUACGUACAAUUAGUCAUGUUAACCUGCCAUGUUAUUUGCUAUUAGCCAAAGCUUAGACAAUUUUGUUGAGGUUAUUUCUUUUUUUAAGCUUUAUUAGUUCUCAAGGCACCCUUUUCUUUUGUCUAGCUCUAUAUCCACUCAACUUUGAUGUAUUUUUUUUCUUAGCUCUGCAUUUCAUUGGUGCCUUGACAUUCACACUCAUAACAAGUGUUGAAAUUCUAACAUGCAGGGUUCUUGAGCGGUUGACUGGGGGUCCUUUCCUACAUGUUCUCUUAUGCACAAUUGUACAAUUGGCUAGGUAAAUGAGUGUACGGUAAAUUUCAGAUUCUUUUGUAGUUUCAUCUGCUGGGAUUUUAAGGUAGUAUAAGCUUUGGUAUUUUGUAUAGAAAAGGGUGUUUUUGGAUUAACGUGAUUGGAUGGUCAAGAUAUGUUGGAUCUACCCCUUUGGGGUUUUUUAUAUUGAUAUAGAUGUACACACUUUAGGGCUCAUUCGGUUUGAAGGAAAUCAAAACGUAGGAAUUAAAAGUAGUAUAGGAAUUUGAUAGGAUGGCACUUGCCAUCCUAAGGAUUUGACUUGCCUCGUUCCUACGCGUAAAAUGAGCUUUGAAUGGGUGUGUAGUUUCCUCCAAAAACACAGGAAAUGAGUAGUAUUCCUAUGAAAUUCCUGUACGCAUUUCCUACAAACUGAAUGCAUAUAUAGAAAAAUUUCCUCCGGAAUCCUUGUUCCUGUGUUUUUUCUACAAAAAUCCUUCAAACCGAUUGAGGCCUUAGUCUUCGUGUUGUUGAUGCAAGUAAACAGUUCGCGUAGGAAUAUGAACCAGAUACGCGGCCUUGCACCUGGUGAAGGCUAGCUUCUACAGAUUGCUUUCCUGAUAUUGAAUACUUGAGAGGUUUGUCUUUUUGUUACACAUAUGAAAUGGAUUUUCUUUUGUGGUAUGACAUAAUCAGUUUGUCGAUGUUGGAUUUGCGUGAAAAAAUAAGGUAUAUGUAUCACCUGCUAUUAAAAAAGCAUUCAUGGAUCAAAUAUAGUGACAUUAAUUCACAACUUAACUAUUCCAAUUUGGAAAAUGACGGGAUGAUUGAAGGUGGCACGUAUGUACUCCCUCCGUUCGGAGUUACUUGUCACAAAAAUGGAUGUAUCUACAACUAAAAUGCAUCUAGAUACAUUCAUUUCUUGGACGAGUAAUUUCGAACGGAGGGAGUAACAGUUAUGGCACUUGCAAUAUGCCAUUGCCAAGCGACACAACCAUGAAACAUUCUGUCAAGAAAAGGGUGAACAACCAUGAUACAUUUUUUUCAACAAAUUUUUAUGGACAAAGAGGAAAUUUUUCAUGAAAUGUUUCCUUAGUCAUAAAACGGAGGAAAUAAACUUGAAGACAAUGGGUGGAGAACGACAUGAGUAAACCAUUAAAGUUUUGUUCUGGAUGCAAGAUAGGCGGCUCAAAAAAAUUCCUAAGGAUACACGUGCAUUGCACGUGCAAACUUACUAGUACUGUAAAAAUGCAAAAAAGUCAUACCGUAAAAAGGGGGUUUGUGCAAUUUUGCUGGGACCAUGAAAUAUUUUACGCGAUCUGUUCUGUCAGAACAACAGUCAUACUAUAAAAAUGUAGAAAAAAAAGUUUUGCAGUAUCCUGUAAGCCAAUUUUUGCGGGACGGGGUAUGUCGAAUCUGCUAGAGAUGCUCUCACAAACCUCUGCUAUGUGCGUACUGAUGACAGAAGUUGAUUAAUUAGGUUUGUGGGAGAAGGCGGCGACGGCUUUGAGAAGAACGGAUGGGGAAGGACGGAGUACAGUUUCCUGUAAGUCUGGCUUAACCAGCGAACGUUCGCUCGCAUGGAAACAUGGUUUGUGGGAGAAGGCGGCGGCGGCUUUGAGAAGAACGGAUGGGGAAGGAGUAUAGUUUCUUGUAGAACAGGCUUAACUGGCGAAUGUUUGCUCAGGGACAUGGUAAAUGCGAAUGUCUUCCAUGACGGUUUGUGUUGGCCGAGGAAGAAAAAAUUAGUUAGCAAACAUAGCAAAUCCACUUCAGUUUAGUUUUCUAGACAUGAUUUUCCGUUCUUGUUAAAAUAAAUUGUCAUCCUCGCGACGACAUAAAUUUCUGUAAGAACUUCGUUUCUUGUAACUGUCGUCACCGAUCGUUUUUUAAAGAACUCAGAUUUGUUAUAAAGAUUCAUCAAAAACACAAAACAUCAUAAAUAUAAUAAAAAUCACAUUGAGUUCUUGAACCACUGGACAAUGACCAGUUUCUAUAUCACAACGAGCCACCGACACGUCACUGUUGUGGCUCCCUUGCCGGCGCUGACCUAACCUUGUCAAUGACAGUCGAGAACCAAUGCCAUGGAGCCACGAUCGCCAUCGUUGAACCCUUGAAUCGAUCCGAAGAACCUGACACCAAAUCACGUCGUAGCCUAUGCACAAUGAGAAACCCUAACCUCGCUUCCUCGAGGGGCCGCCAAGAAUCAAUACCGGAGCUGCGUCUAAUCCGCCCCGAAGGACGAGCUCGAGGAGGAUUGAAGAUUAGAAGACCGACUCAAAUAUGGAGUGUCGCCAUCUGCCCAAGCACUGCCCCUGCGAGCACUAAAACCCUAAACUAUCUACUAGUUGGAGCCUAGAGCCGAGGCACUAGGAUUCCAUUCCCUGCCACCGGUCACUAGAGCGGCAGUCAAAGAGGAGAUGAAUCCACGACCUCACCGGUGAAGGUCGAGGGGAGGAAGACCUUUUCCUAGUUGCCUUUGAUGUUUUUGCAAGUGCACCGAGUUUAGUUGUAGCCUUUUCGAAAUGUUCCCCAAGUGUUCCAAUGACUCACUCUAUUCUUUUAUGGAAAAAGACUUUCGCUCCGUUUUAUAUAUAAAGCACCGAUCAUACUUAUUCUUUUUUUUUCACUCCCCCACACAAUGUAAGGCCUCUUUUGCUGUGUAAGAUUUUUGUAGGAAUUCUAUAGGAUAGGAUUUACAAAAGAAAAGAAAAAAAAUCCUUUGAAGCCUUUUGAUUUGUAGGAAUGGAUUCUUAUUCCUAUGUAGGAUAGGAAUCAAUCCUUCACGUUUUGGAGGAAAAAAAACAUUAGCCUAGACUCAAUGUAAAAAUCCUAUCCUAUGUAUCAA